rnacentral:rRNA from 1 species
UACGGGGGGAGCAAGCGUUGUUCGGAUUUACUGGGCGUAAAGGGCGCGUAGGCGGCGCCGCAAGUCGACUGUGAAAUCUCCGGGCUUAACCCGGAAAGGUCAGCCGAUACUGCGGGGCUAGAGUGCAGAAGGGGCAACUGGAAUUCUCGGUGUAGCGGUGAAAUGCGUAGAUAUCGGGAGGAACACCUGCGGCGAAGGCGGGUUGCUGGGCUGACACUGACGCUGAUGCGCGAAAGCUAGGGGAGCGAACGGG